CGCGUGGAGGGGGAUAACUACUGGAAACGGUAGCUAAUACCGCAUAACGUCGCAAGACCAAAGAGGGGGACCUUCGGGCCUCUUGCCAUCGGAUGUGCCCAGAUGGGAUUAGCUAGUAGGUGGGGUAACGGCUCACCUAGGCGACGAUCCCUAGCUGGUCUGAGAGGAUGACCAGCCACACUGGAACUGAGACACGGUCCAG
rnacentral:rRNA from 1 species